rnacentral:lncRNA from 1 species
UUGUUUUAGAGGAAUCUGAGAGUGUUUAGUCCCUGAUCACUACUUUGGAAAAAUAGGAUCAGGUACCAGAAUUAGUAUGUGAUGGGACGCAAGAGGAGCAUGUAACCCAAUCACUAAUGAGAUUACACAGGAUUAUGUCUCUGGACUCUCGAUCAGUCUUCAGCAGACUUGAUAGCAACAGGUUGGUCUGUGAACAUGCCACCGGAUAACCAAAUGAAGAGAAACUAAUCCAACAGGUUAAUUCUUAGCCACUGAAGUUCAACAGGGAUCUGUAUCCAGCUAUUGAAGCAUUCAACCAGGCAUUGUGUCAAGGUAUUUACCUGUUUCAAUGUUUUUAAGAAAAUAAAUAUACCAGAAUAGAUUGCUUUUUCUCUCAAAGCCACAGCGGUUGGCACUCUGGUGGUGAGUCUUAAAUCCAAGCCAAUCAGAAUUUAAAGAAUGAAUAUACAGAACUGCUUGGCCUGUUGUAUUUCACCUACAGUAUAUAUUGCAGGCAAUAGAGCACCAUGUGAAAUCUUCAUAAAAUGGCUAUUUAUGUACUGUGGUCAGCAGUUGUCUGGAGUCUCAAGGGCCUGUUGUGCACAUGGAGGUUUUUCUGGGUAAUUAUGUCCUCUUCAUGUUAAUACAUUCUAUCAAUAUAUUCUAGUUUUACUGUAUUGCUACACAAAUCACUGAUUAAUCAUCAAAUUUUACUUAUUUAUAUUAUAGGUCAGCCCAUAUUGUGCUCUAAAAUCUGCACCAUUAACACAGCAUGCAGCUGACACUGACUAUAAAUUACCAUCCAAACUGUCACCAGUUGUCCAGCAUGUCAAGCAUCUGGCAAGGACAGAUUUAAAUGCAGACUCAGUGAAGAAGGUCAAACCAGAAAACUGUGUUCAGCCUGAACGCACAAGUGGCCUGUUCAAGAGACUGCUAAAGGCUGAGGGGGAGAUUCAAGAGCUGAAGAUAGAGAUUGCAAAUCAGAGAGCAUCAUGGGAGAUGCGGUUUGUGGAGCUGCAAAAGAGACAACAUGAUCUAAGAGACCAGGUAUGCGGGUCUAAUAAUAUUUCAGAAAUGAUACUCAUAAAUUCAUUAUAAUGAACCUUUUACACUAUUGCUUCUUUGGCAUCUCUGCUUUGAUCACCUGGCUCUUUUUCUAAAUUCAAAAUGCAUGCUUUUUUUUUUUUAAAUGACUAUAACUGCUUGAUUAUUUGGGAUUUGCAACAGGAACUAGCAAUGCUUAUGGGUUGCAGUACUUAAAAAUGCUUGGUGUAAUGACUAGGUGGCAUCUCUGUGGAUCACUAAAUGCUACUAUCUAUCAUGGCAGAUAAGCUAGAAUGCCAGCUUUCAUAGCAUCAGUUUUGCA